AUUGAACGCUGGCGGCAGGCUUAACACAUGCAAGUCGAGCGGAGAGAGGUAGCUUGCUACUGAUCUUAGCGGCGGACGGGUGAGUAAUGCUUAGGAAUCUGCCUAUUAGUGGGGGACAACAUUUCGAAAGGAAUGCUAAUACCGCAUACGUCCUACGGGAGAAAGCAGGGGAUCUUCGGACCUUGCGCUAAGAGAGGAGCCUAAGUCGGAUUAGCUAGUUGGUGAGGUAAAGGCCUACCAAGGCGACGAUCUGUAGCGGGUCUGAGAGGAUGAUCCGCCACACUGGGACUGAGACACGGCCCAGACUCCUACGGGAGGCAGCAGUGGGGAAUAUUGGACAAUGGGCGGAAGCCUGAUCCAGCCAUGCCGCGUGUGUGAAGAAGGCCUUAUGGUUGUAAAGCACUUUAAGCGAGGAGGAGGCUACUUUAGUUAAUACCUAGAGAUAGUGGACGUUACUCGCAGAAUAAGCACCGGCUAACUCUGUGCCAGCCGCCGCGGUAAAAC
rnacentral:rRNA from 1 species